rnacentral:lncRNA from 1 species
CGGACCUAAAAUAUUCAAACUAACAAUAUAUUACUUUGCAAUUAAGAGCAACAAGCCCUAUUGAUCCUAACAGUAAGGCAAUAAUGACAUGAAGAAUGAAGUUGUAUAAAUACUGAAAAAUAAAAGAUUGACAAUAGAGUUUCAAAUCUUCCAAUUCAUAAAUAAACUGAAAGUUCCCCUAACUUCAGCUAGAAAUUGUGUAUUUAGCCACUCAUGACUUACAAAGAAGAUACAAAGAGAAGAAAAGGAAGAAGGCGACUUCGGUGCAGGUGAGGGAUGCAAUCCUCGAUGAUUUUCUGCUACUGGUUUGUUGUCCUUUCUAUAGAUGAAAAACCCUAGAAUAGCCCCUUGUGAGAUGGAAUUACUCUUCAAUUUGGUUUCUAAUUCCCUCCUUGAUUGUGUUUCUUCAUAAAUGAACUUUUUUGAGUGAAGAAAUUCUUUUUGUAGAGUGUUUGAUGUUUUUCAGAUGUGUCUUAAUGUGUUUGAAAUGGAUUGAAACUCUUGAAAUUCGAAUUUUGGUGCUUUUCGCUGUUCUACACUUUUUCUACCCGCGAUAAUCGAUUUGCCCAAUGAUUUGGGCUAAUUGCUUGCCCUUGUCGUGAGUUUGUGCUAUUCUUUCCUUCUCUAUUCUGCGAUAAUCGAUUUACCCAGUGAUUUGGGCAAAUCAUUGGCCAAAAAUAUGGGCAGUUCUGCUAUUUUGUGUGAUCUGUCAAUUUGCCCAGUGAUUUGGGCAAAUUGAUUCUAGCACAUCAAAAUCUUGAAUUUUACCUUCUUACUUCCAUCUACUUGUGUAGCCUUCUUGGUCAUUCUUGAGGGUGAUUUGCCCAAAUUGCUCCGGCCGAAUCAACUUUUCAUGUAUUUCAUACUAUUUUUCACUAAAUUUCCAUUUUUCAUCAUUUUCUAUAAAAUAUUAUCAAAAGCACAAAAUUAGAUAAGAGAUGUAUAGUUUAGCAUUAAUAAUAACAUUCAAUUUCAAUAUCUCAAGUUUAAAUCCUACUAUUUUUUUAUAUUAUGUAAUAUUCUCUUAACGACUUUAUAUGUUAAAAAAUACGGUAAAAAUAAAAAUCAACAGCAAGCAAAAACUAGAUUAAUAUAAAAUUUGAACGAUUUAACUAAAAAAAAGGUGAAAGAAAUGAAAAUGUCAAUAAAUGGAACGAGAUAAUGCUAAGGAUUUUUCUUUUUCAAUUUUCAUUUCUAUUUUUAACCCACACAGAAAUAGAAUCUUGUUAGAUGGUUACUGGGGACAAUUAUAUGAUACUUGACUUUAAUGUAUAGUUUAAUAUUUAAUUACCACUACAAUUAAUUUAUAUUAUCAACUUCAGCAAUAUUCAAAGCAUUGAAGAUUUCAAAUAAUAAAAUAAAUAAAUAAAUGCCGGUGCAGAUAAGAUAUGGUAUGUAUAUGUGCAAUUACAGCUAUAAUUGAUAGCGACAUAUUACCUGGUAUGCUCACUUGUCCAUAUAUAAUCAUCGUCAUCGCUAUAGUUAUACAACACUUUUUCCGAAACACCGGAGCAUCAUCAGAUUCUUAUGUUUCAUCAUCUAUAAUAAUAAUAAUAUUUAUAUUUACUUUAUUUUUUAAAUGAACUUUAUUAAUUUCAAUAAUAAUUUAA